AGACAAACUCCGAAUGCCAAUUAAUUUAACUUGGGAGUCAGAACAUGGGUGAUAAGGUCCGUGUUCGAAAGGGAAACAGCCCAGACCACCAGCUAAGGUCCCAAAAUAUAUGUUAAGUGGAAAAGGAUGUGGCGUUGCCCAGACAACUAGGAUGUUGGCUUAGAAGCAGCCAUCAUUUAAAGAGUGCGUAAUAGCUCACUAGUCGAGUGACACUGCGCCGAAAAUGUACCGGGGCUAAACAUAUUACCGAAGCUGUGGAUUGUCCUUUGGACAAUGGUAGGAGAGCGUUCUAAGGGCGUUGAAGCAUGAUCGUAAGGACAUGUGGAGCGCUUAGAAGUGAGAAUGCCGGUGUGAGUAGCGAAAGACGGGUGAGAAUCCCGUCCACCGAUUGACUAAGGUUUCCAGAGGAAGGCUCGUCCGCUCUGGGUUAGUCGGGUCCUAAGCUGAGGCCGACAGGCGUAGGCGAUGGAUAACAGGUUGAUAUUCCUGUACCACCUAUAAUCGUUUUAAUCGAUGGGGGGACGCAGUAGGAUAGGCGAAGCGUGCGAUUGGAUUGCACGUCUAAGCAGUAAGGCUGAGUAUUAGGCAAAUCCGGUACUCGUUAAGGCUGAGCUGUGAUGGGGAGAAGACAUUGUGUCUUCGAGUCGUUGAUUUCACACUGCCGAGAAAAGCCUCUAGAUAGAAAAUAGGUGCCCGUACCGCAAACCGACACAGGUAGUCAAGAUGAGAAUUCUAAGGUGAGCGAGCGAACUCUCGUUAAGGAACUCGGCAAAAUGACCCCGUAACUUCGGGAGAAGGGGUGCUCUUUAGGGUUAACGCCCAGAAGAGCCGCAGUGAAUAGGCCCAAGCGACUGUUUAUCAAAAACACAGGUCUCUGCUAAACCGUAAGGUGAUGUAUAGGGGCUGACGCCUGCCCGGUGCUGGAAGGUUAAGAGGAGUGGUUAGCUUCUGCGAAGCUACGAAUCGAAGCCCCAGUAAACGGCGGCCGUAACUAUAACGGUCCUAAGGUAGCGAAAUUCCUUGUCGGGUAAGUUCCGACCCGCACGAAAGGCGUAACGAUUUGGGCACUGUCUCAACGAGAGACUCGGUGAAAUCAUAGUACCUGUGAAGAUGCAGGUUACCCGCGACAGGACGGAAAGACCCCGUGGAGCUUUACUGUAGCCUGAUAUUGAAAUUCGGCACAGCUUGUACAGGAUAGGUAGGAGCCUUUGAAACGUGAGCGCUAGCUUACGUGGAGGCGCUGGUGGGAUACUACCCUAGCUG
rnacentral:rRNA from 1 species